rnacentral:rRNA from 1 species
UACGGAAGGCAGCAGUGGGGAAUAUUGCACAAUGGGCGAAAGCCUGAUGCAGCUAUGCCGCGUGUAUGAAGAAGGCCUUAGGGUUGUAAAGUACUUUCAUCGGGGAGGAAAAACAAAACUAAUAAUUUUAUUUCUUGACGUUACCCGAAAAAGAAGCACCGGCUAACUCCGUGCCAGCAGCCGCGGUAAUACGGAGGGUGCUAGCGUUAAUCAGAAUUACUGGGCGUAAAGAGCACGUAGGUGGUUUUUUUAAGUCAGAUGUGAAAUCCCUGGGCUUAACCUAGGAACUGCAUUUUGAAACUGAAAUACUAGAGUAUCGUAGAGGGAGGUAGAAUUCUAGGUGUAGCGAUGAAAUGCGUAGAUAUCUGGAGGAAUACCUGUGGCGAAAGCGGCCUCCUAAACGAAUACUGACACUGAGGUGCGAAAGCGUGGGGAGCAAACAGGGAUUAGAUACC